AGCAUUACUUUACAGGACCUAUUGGAGGGCAAGUUCUGGUGCCAGCAGCCGCGGUAACUCCAGCUCCAAUAGCGUAUAUUAAUGUUGUUGCGGUUAAAACGUUCGUAGUUGAACUUGUGCUUCAUACGGGUAGUACAACUAUAAUUUUAGAUUGUGCUAUACCUUAUGUAUGUAAGCGUAUUACCGGUGGGGUUCUUAUAUGCAAAUGUAAUACUUGUAUUCUUUUGUAUAUUCCUCCUAUUUAAACCUGCCUCAAUGCUCUUCAUCGGGUGUUGUUGCGGGCCGGUACAAUUACUUUGAACAAAUUAGAGUGCUUAAAGCAGGCUCCAAAUGCCUGAAUAUUUUGUGCAUGGAAUAAUGGAAUAAGACCUCUGUUCUACUUUCAUUGGUUUUUAGAUCAAGAGGUAAUGAUUAAUAGAAGCAGUUUGGGGGCAUUAGUAUUACGACGCGAGAGGUGAAAUUCUUGGACCGUCGUAAGACUAACUUAAGCGAAAGCAUUUGCCAAAGAUGUUUUCAUUAAUCAAGAACGAAAGUUAGAGGUUCGAAGGCGAUCAGAUACCGCCCUAGUUCUAACCAUAAACAUUGGCCAGGCUA
rnacentral:rRNA from 1 species